UACAGAGGUCUCAAGCGUUGUUCGGAUUCAUUGGGCGUAAAGGGUGCGUAGGCGGCGCGGUAAGUCGGGUGUGGAAAUCAUCGGAGCUUAACUCCGAAACUGCAUUCGAUACUGCCGUGCUUGAGGACUGGAGAGGAGACUGGAAUUUACGGUGUAGCGGUGAAAUGCGUAGAUAUCGUAAGGAAGACCAGUGGCGAAGGCGGGUCUCUGGACAGUUCCUGACGCUGAGGCACGAAGGCCAGGGGAGCAAACGGG
rnacentral:rRNA from 1 species